GGGGGCAACCCUGAUCCAGCCAUGCCGCGUGAGUGAAGAAGGCCCUCGGGUUGUAAAGCUCUUUUGUCCGGCAAGAAAAGCUUCGGGUUAAUACCCCGGGGUUCUGACGGUACGGGAAGAAUAAGCACCGGCUACCUUCGUGCCAGCAGCCGCGGUAAUACGAAGGGUGCAAGCGUUACUCGGAAUUACUGGGCGUAAAGCGUGCGUAGGUGGUUGUUUAAGUCUGAUGUGA
rnacentral:rRNA from 1 species